GGUAAAAUGACCGAGACAUAGGUGAUAAAUUGUAAAUUUAUUCACGAAAGAUAUUUUCUUUUACCA
rnacentral:tRNA from 2 species